rnacentral:RNase_P_RNA from 1 species
CCAGAUGGCCGGGUGACCGCUGCCGACGUAAGUCGGGAGAGGAAAGUCCGGGCUCCACGGAAACACGGUGCCGGGUAACGCCCGGCGGGGGCGACCCCAGGGAAAGUGCCACAGAGAGCUGAACCGCCGGUCUUUGACCGGUAAGGGUGAAAAGGUGCGGUAAGAGCGCACCGCGCGACCGGCAACGGAAGCGGCAGGGCAAACCCCACCGGGAGCAAGGCCAAAUAGGGGCGGCACGCAGGUCUUCCUGCAAGCGGCGUUUCCGCGCCCGCCGCCCGGGUCGGCUGCUGAAGAUGCCGGGUAACCGGCAUCGUAGAGGAAUGGUCAUCCAGCGCCCCUCGGGGCGUGGACAGAACCCGGCUUACAGGCCAUCUGGCAUU